rnacentral:rRNA from 1 species
GACAGAGGCCCCAAGCGUUAGGCGGAAUCACUGGGCUUAAAGCGUGUGUAGGCGGACGCCUAAGUGUCUUGUGAAAUCCCACGGCUCACCCGUGGAACUGCUGGGCAUACUGGGCGUCUUGGGCCAACUAGGGGCAGCCGGAACAAGCGGUGGAGCGGUGAAAUGCGUAGAUAUCGCUUGGAACGCCGAAGGUGAAAACAGGCUGCUGGGGUUGUGCCGACGCUGAGACACGAAAGCUAGGGGAGCAAACGGG